rnacentral:rRNA from 1 species
GACGAACGCUGGCGGCGUGCUUAACACAUGCAAGUCGAACGGAAAGGCCCUGCUUUUGUGGGGUGCUCGAGUGGCGAACGGGUGAGUAACACGUGAGUAACCUGCCCUUGACUUUGGGAUAACUUCAGGAAACUGGGGCUAAUACCGGAUAGGAGCUCCUGCUGCAUGGUGGGGGUUGGAAAGUUUCGGCGGUUGGGGAUGGACUCGCGGCUUAUCAGCUUGUUGGUGGGGUAGUGGCUUACCAAGGCUUUGACGGGUAGCCGGCCUGAGAGGGUGACCGGCCACAUUGGGACUGAGAUACGGCCCAGACUCCUACGGGAGGCAGCAGUGGGGGAUAUUGCACAAUGGUCGGAAGCCUGAUGCAGCAACGCCGCGUGCGGGAUGACGGCCUUCGGGUUGUAAACCGCUUUCGCCUGUGACGAAGCGUGAGUGACGGUAAUGGGUAAAGAAGCACCGGCUAACUACGUG